UCUACAAGUGUUACAAUUUAAUCAUAUACGAAUUGCGACUAACGCACUGUGGUACGUUAGUAACAAGAAAAUAUACGAGGAUUUGGGGACCACGACAGAGCAUUGACUGAGAUCUUCGACUUAAAGUCAGCUGACUUCAUCUCUCUUCACCAUUGCAGCUGAUGCAGGCUGUAAAAAUUCAUGCUAACAUAAAUACUCACUGAACUUCUGUAGUGAAUCAUCAUCUGUCACCAUAUCCACUUUUUUAUACAGAUUAUCCCGUAACUGGUACACAUUUUCUGACUGAGGAAAACAACCUGCAAGACCUGAAAUGACAAUUUCUUCACCAGGGGAGGGCUGUGCGCAUUGUACACUUGCAUUGUUUGACACAGACAUAGUUGGCAGCACUGUACAGUUGUGAGUUGAGACCGAAAAUGGUGGGCAGCAGAGAGCGAAGAAGCAGUCUUAAUAUGCAUGCAGAGAUCAUCUCAUACCAGUUUGGAACAAGACACAACAUUGAAUAAUCGAGAUUUAUGGCUAUAAAGAAUUGUUAUCAAGUCAAUAAUUAUUUCUAACCAUGCUGGGAUUAAUAAAUCCAUAUUUCAGACAGAGUACCCAGUAAGUUAAUUACUAAAGCUGCAAGCCCCCCUCUGCUGCUAUAGCAACUCAGCUGCUCUUGUGUAGUGUCCAAGUGAUGUCAGACAGUUACCGUUCACAGUGAAGACAAGCGAUAGAAUUACAGCUGAGCUGAAUACUUCAUGUGUAUAAUCAAAUCCACAUUGGGCAAAUUUGCAUUUGAAGGAGAGAUUACUGUAUUAUUUUCUUUGCAUCCUACCAGAAUUUGUCUGCAAUAUGGACUUCAUUAUAAACCUCACGGAGCUAUUAAUUGCACUUACAGAAAGAACGAUUGUGUAUCAUCUUCCUGAACAAAAAUAUCUGUAUUCACUACAGUGGUAAAUAUACUGAGGCAUCAAAAGAGAGUUUCUUCUGUAGUUACAGUCAGUGACAAAAGUUAUGCUCUUUCACCAUUAAAUAAUAAAAUGUUUAUCCAAUAAAUCAUACAAAUAAAGAAACUAUUUACACAGAUACAUGAGAAGCAAUAGAAGUAUUCUCUUUACUUAAUACUGAACUAGUACCUCCUAACAGAGUUUUCAUAUGAUAUUUAGAGAACUGAAUGGAACUUAAUGAAAAGAAUAUUAUAGUUUCCAGUUCCUUGUAAAAACUAUCCUCUGUACAACACUUUUAUCAUCAGAUGGGUCAUACAUAUUCAGAACAAAUUAAUAAAAUCAUUAUUCUGACAUAGAACAAAAGGAUUCUUUGGGCCAUGGUUGAGAAUGGAAAUAGCUGUGGAACAUAAAAACUGAAGCAUUGCUACUGCCACAUUCCUUGUUUAUAUUUAUCUUGUACACUUCUGAAAGGCUACAUUUAUUAUUACAAAACGUUUUAAACCUCAGCAAAUUCAUUCUUGUAUGAAUAGCUAGAAUUACAAAACAAAACCCCCCCCCCACCCCCCCCGCUUGCUUCGUACGGGUCCAUCUCAUACGACCAAAAUCAGUCCUUUGCGCAAGUACCAGCACUUCUCGCUCGGCCUCAUUCAACUGAGGAUUCACCAAUCCGAACCUCUUUUGUGUCUAAAUAAGGGAGCAGCUUAAUCUAUGAAAGAUGUGAGAAUCAGUCACACAGGUAAUAAGUCAGAUUUAACAUGCAUAUAUAUCGUAUUUACCAGAAUAUAAGACGAUAAUUUUUCUUAAUUCAUUAUCUUAAAGUGGGGGGGUUCGUCUUUUAUCGCGCAAAAAUUUUAUGAAUAUGGCAAAUGUUUUUGUUGUUAGUAGCACGGCAAAUAUUAUUAUGCUGGGAAGUACACCUGUUUGGUUAUUUUGUCACUUACCACGCAACCUCAUGUAUGGCAACAUCCUUGAAUAGAUGAAUACUUGUUUUUGUAGUACUGUGAAUUGUUUCAAAACAGGGAAGUGGCUUACC